GACGAACGCUGGCGGCGUGCCUAAUACAUGCAAGUCGAACGGUCUUUUCUAUGGAAGCUUGCUUCCACUGAGAAGGUAGUGGCGAACGGGUGAGUAACACGUGGGUAACCUGCCCAUAAGAGGGGGAUAACAUCCGGAAACGGGUGCUAAUACCGCAUAGGUUUCUUGGUCGCAUGAUCGAGAAAGGAAAGACGGCCUUUGUGCUGUCGCUUAGGGAUGGACCCGCGGCGUAUUAGUUAGUUGGUGAGGUAACGGCUCACCAAGACGAUGAUACGUAGCCGACCUGAGAGGGUGAUCGGCCACAUUGGGACUGAGACACGGCCCAAACUCCUACGGGAGGCAGCAGUAGGGAAUCUUCCGCAAUGGACGAAAGUCUGACGGAGCAACGCCGCGUGAGUGAAGAAGGUUUUCGGAUCGUAAAACUCUGUUGUCAGAGAAGAACAAGUCGGAGAGUAACUGCUCCGGCCUUGACGGUAUCUGACCAGAAAGCCACGGCUAACUACGUGCCAGCAGCCGCCGUAAUAC
rnacentral:rRNA from 1 species